rnacentral:lncRNA from 1 species
UAAGUCUAAAAUUUUAAUUUUAUACUGUUGCUUGAAGAUUAAUAAAGUAUUUCUACUUUUUCAGUUGGCUGAGAUUUACAAUAAUGUGAUAGCAACAGACACGAGCCCAAAACAGCUUGAAUUUGCAACAAAACUCCCCAAUAUCCGAUACCAACAAACCUCACCAACAAUGUCCUCGGCCGAGCUUGAACAAAAAGUGGGAGCAGAAUCAAGUGUAGAUCUAGUGACCAUAGCCCAAGCCAUGCACUGGUUCGACCUUCCUGUGUUUUACAAACAGGUGAAAUGGGUAUUGAAGAAACCCCAUGGGAUCAUCGCGGCAUGGUGCUACACCACCCCAGAAGUCAACGACUCCAUGGACCAGGUGCUUGAACGAUUUUACAAAAACUCAUACUGGGAUUCACCACGACAGAUGGUGGAUGAUAAGUACAAAACCAUCGAUUUUCCGUUCGAGGCAGUCGAUGGAGAGGAUAGUAGUGGACCGUUUGAGUUUGAGAAUGAGAGAUGGAUGGGUUUAGAGGAUUACUUUACUUAUUUAAGAUCAUGGUCCGCGUAUCAGAAGGCCAAGGAGAAGGGUGUGGAACUUUUGAGCGAGCAUGUGGUUGAAGAGUUCAAGCGUGCUUGGGGUGAAGAUGAAAAUGGUGGGCAAAAACUGGUUAAAUUCCCGAUUUAUCUGAGGAUCGGAAAAGUGGGUGCAUAACUACCAUGAUGGGCAAUCGUAAUGCUAAAUGAGAAGAUCAGAAGAGAUAAUUGGGGUCCAAUAAUAAGGAAAAAACUAUUACAUGUGAUAAGGAUUAUAGACAUAAUUUUAUUCCAACAUCUCUUUCCUUCUUAUAAAAAGAAGUUACUUAUCCAUGAAUUAUUGAUUGAUGUCUUCUUUCAUCUUCACAGUAUUCUUUUUAUGAAAAAAUAAAACAUUCAUAAUUGAGAUAAUUUAGAAUUGUUAAUGGAUUGAGUUAUUCAUUUAAACUCGAAUGUUGAUUCAAAAUUUAAGAAGAUUUAGAUAAAAAUAUUAGGUUUAAAAAAUAAAUUUUGACAAAAAUUUAGAUCCGUUUAAAAUAUAAGUUGGGCUCGGGCUUAGACUUGAAUAUUCAGGACUUGAAUCAGCCCGGUCCGACUCGCUUUUAAGUUUAUAAUGUUUUAUUUAUCUUAUUUUUUUACAUAUUAUAUAAUUUAUAACAUAUAAAAAAUUAAUUUAUAGAAAUAUAUAAUACUAUUAUAAUGUAAAUAUUAAAAUAUGUUAAAGAUAACUAAAAUAAACAUAUAUUUUUAAAAAUAACAUGCACAAACCUAAAAUGAGUUUAAAUAAACUAUUUACAAAUAUAUAUAAAUUUUAACAAAAUUUUAAACUCAUAUUUUAGAUGUUAAGUAAAGAUACGGUAGAAAUUGAGAACCUGUAAAGAUGUGGCAUAAUAGUAUAAAUAUCUUUUUCCAUACCAAACAAAAUUUUGAGUGGUUAGAAGGUUGAACACGUCAUAUCAUCUUUAAUGAUAUCUAACAAUAGUCUUUAUAGAAAAAAUAUAAAUUUUAAAUUUGAAAAUAAUGCUUCCCAUAUUAUUAUUUUAAUAAUUUGAUUAAUUCUUAAUUCAAUUAAUAUUGAUAUUAUUAUUAGUAUAAAAGAACAUGUAUUUGAGCAUUUUGAAAUAUAUUAACUUCUUAUUUAAAGGUAGAAGAGACAUUAUGAAUAGUUUUAAACAUUCUUAUAAUGAAAUUAAUAUUUAAUAAAUAAUUUUUUUCUUUAAAGAAUUAUUUUAAUAAAUAUUAAUUAUAACUGUUAUUUAAAUAUAUAUAUAUAACUACUAAUAAAAGUUGACUGACAAGAAUGUUCUUGAAAAAAAAAAGACUGACAAGAAGAGUUUCACUUUCCAGACACAAAAAAAGUUAAAGAUCAGCUGCCAAUUUUUUAUUACUUGGAAAAGUUUGUUAAAAAUCAUCACGUUGUUAUACUUUUUUUUAUAUAUUUAGAGUUUAGUUCCUUUAAUUUUUCUAAUUUUUAACUUUUAAAAUGUAAAUUUAAUUAUUAAAUGGUUACUGUCGUUUUUGGUUUGCCAUCUUCAUAAACUCAAAUCAGAUCAUUGCCCUCUUCUACUUUCAUUGGAACCGGAAGUGUCCAGACAAGCAUAUAGACCUUUCCGAUUUAAUGCUGGUUGGUUGUUACAUCCUGGAUUCAAGAAGAUGGUUAGUGAUAAUUGGAGCUCUAAUAAUGAUUUGCUUAUUAAUGUGAUGCAACUCACAGAAUCUUAUUAAUGUGAUGCAACUCACAGAAUCUCUAAAGAUUGGAAAAGAGAAGUGCUUAGGAAUAUUUUUUGGAGGAAGAAGGAUGUAAUUGCACAGUUGCAAAAGGUUCAACAUAAGAUAGAUUAGCAUGAGUUGGCUAGGUUGCGAGAUAAGGAAGUUGCUGUCUGGUUUAAAUUGGAGGAGGUGUUGUACCAAGAGAAGUUACUUUGGAAGCAGAAGGUGCGGUGUGACUAGUUGUGCCAUGGAGAUUAUAAUACUACGGGUGUGCCUCUUUUGGGGGGUUGUUUUGCUACAAUUUCGAGUUGGGAUACAGUGAAGCUAACGAAGGCGAAAACAUCUGAGGAGGUCGGUAGUGUCUUGUUUAGAAUGGCACCGUUUAAAAGGGUAUUUUACGUUGACUUAUAAAUUAUAUUUUAUUUAAAAAAAUAAACAUAAAAAAUAUAGAAAAUAUUUUUUGUAAACUUUUUAUAUGUAAAUAAACGUAGUAUUAUUUUAGGGAACUUCAAAAGUUUUUUCUUUAUUUAUAACAUUUCUUUAAAGUUUAGCCUAACUGAGGCACUGCCUCAUUUUCUUAUUAGCAGUUGACGGCUGUUGGACAGUUGGUGUUUUUAUAAUCUUUGUUCAGUGUACAACAACAUUUGCAUUCAGAUUUUAUUUCCUAGUAAGCUAUAAAUAAGAAAGCAGAGUUGUUGGGUCACUCAUCAUCUAUCAAAACCAAACCAGAGCAAAAACAAAAAAACAAUGGCAAAUUUGUUCAUCAAACAAGCAAAGCAGUACGCACAAGGUCGACCAAGCUACCCACCACACUUGUUCCAAUUCAUUGCCUCAAAGACUCCCCAACAUGAUCUUGCAUGGGAUGUCGGCACUGGUAGUGGUCAGGCUGCUCGAUCUGUAAGUCUAAAAUUUUAAUUUUAUACUGUUGCUUGAAGAUUAAUAAAGUAUUUCUACUUUUUCAGUUGGCUGAGAUUUACAAUAAUGUGAUAGCAACAGACACGAGCCCAAAACAGCUUGAAUUUGCAACAAAACUCCCCAAUAUCCGAUACCAACAAACCUCACCAACAAUGUCCUCGGCCGAGCUUGAACAAAAAGUGGGAGCAGAAUCAAGUGUAGAUCUAGUGACCAUAGCCCAAGCCAUGCACUGGUUCGACCUUCCUGUGUUUUACAAACAGGUGAAAUGGGUAUUGAAGAAACCCCAUGGGAUCAUCGCGGCAUGGUGCUACACCACCCCAGAAGUCAACGACUCCAUGGACCAGGUGCUUGAACGAUUUUACAAAAACUCAUACUGGGAUUCACCACGACAGAUGGUGGAUGAUAAGUACAAAACCAUCGAUUUUCCGUUCGAGGCAGUCGAUGGAGAGGAUAGUACGGGACCGUUUGAGUUUGAGAAUGAGAGAUGGAUGGGUUUAGAGG